rfam:Picea glauca, whole genome shotgun sequence.
GAUGGGAGUAACUAUGAAUCUCUUAAGGUAGCCAGAUGCAUCAUCAUCUAAUUAGUGAUGUGCAUGAAUGGAUUAAUGAGAUUCCCACUGUCCCAAGCUAAUAUCUAGAGAAACCAAAACUAAGGAACGAGAUUGGAAAAAUUAGCGGGGAAAGACGACCCUGUUGAGCUUAACUCUAGUCCAACUUUGUGAAAUGACUUGAGAGGUGUAGAAUAAGUGGAAUUUGUUUUCAACGCAAGUGAAAUACCACUAAUUUUAACGUCAUUUUACUUAUUUUGUGGGGCAGAGACGAGGCAUUUCACAUAUGUUAAAAGAUAAUGCACAUUUCCUCAAAGUGUUGUCUUUGAUGGAAAUGGUUGAAAGCUCAUUCUUCACACGCUUGAUUGCAAUGAGUUUAGGAAACCAAAGAGGAUCAUUGCUUUUAAUGAUGAAGAAAAUUCCUAUAACAAUCCCUAUUUUUUUAGCCAACACCCCCCU